CAGCCGCCGCGGUAACACCGAGGGUGCGAGCGUUAAUCGGAUUUACUGGGCGUAAAGCGUGCGUAGGCGGCUUUUUAAGUCGGAUGUGAAAUCCCUGAGCUUAACUUAGGAAUUGCAUUCGAUACUGGGAAGCUAGAGUAUGGGAGAGGAUGGUAGAAUUCCAGGUGUAGCGGUGAAAUGCGUAGAGAUCUGGAGGAAUACCGAUGGCGAAGGCAGCCAUCUGGCCUAAUACUGACGCUGAGGUACGAAAGCAUGGGGAGCAAACAGGAUUAGAUACCCCCGUAGUCCCUGUCUCUUAUAC
rnacentral:rRNA from 1 species